GCGGUUCAUCUUCUCCAUCAUUAACAUCUCAGCUUUUUGGCUCGAGAGAUAAUCCUCCUCCUCCUUCUUCUUCUUAUUCCUCUUGGAUUUUCGGAUCCAUUUUUGCUCCUCCUUUAAAGGUGAGUUUCCUUUCUCCAAAAGCUUCGAUUUUUUUUGUUUGAUUUGGCGUAUCCAUUAAUUGCUGAAGAUUUCCAAUUUCGUUGGGAAUGAAUUUGGAAAUUUUUUAAUUAUUCUAAUUUUAUCAUAGCGGAAUUAAUUUUAUUUUUUUGUUCGUAUUCAUAGUUUUUCUUUUGUUCCUCUGUUUGCAAAAAGGAUUAAUUUUGAAAAGGUAGAUCAUUUUUUUUUAAAAAAAAGUGGAAGACCCUACACAAGAUUAAGAAUAAGAAGAGUUUUCGUGAUUGGUAGCUUGGUGCACAAGUUUCUCUAAUCCAAAUUAACACUAUUCUGCUCAGAUUUAGAAAUUUGAUGGAUGUGUUCUUUUGUUUCAUUAGGUUAUGGGAUGAGAGACUGGAACUGGUGGCAGUGGUGGCUGGAACGACAAAUCCUCAAAUUAACCUAAUGAAACAAAAGGACACACCCAUCAAAUUUUAAAAUCUGAGCAGAAUAGUGUUAAAUUUUGAUUAGAGAAACUUGUGUGUCAAAUCACCAAUCACGAAAACUCUUCUUAUUCUUAAUUUGGGGUUGUGGGGUCUUCCACUUAAAAAAAUGGUCUACUUUUUCAAAAUUAAUCUUUUUUUUUUUAUUUUGCAAACAGAGGAACAAAAGAAAAACUAUGAAUACAAACUAAAAGAUCAAAUCAAUUCCGCUAUGAUAAAAUCAGAAUAAUUCGAAAAAUUUCAAAUCUAUUCCUAACGAAAUUGGAAAUCUUUAGCAAUUAAUCGAUACGCCAAAUCAAACAAAAAAAAUCGAAGCUUUUGCAUAAAGGAAUCUCACCUUAGAAGGAGGAGAAAAAAUGGAUCUGAAAAUUCAAAAAGAAGAAGAAGGAAAAGGAGGAGGAUUAUCU
rnacentral:lncRNA from 1 species